rnacentral:rRNA from 1 species
CCUACGGGUGGCAGCAGUGGGGAAUCUUGCGCAAUGGGCGAAAGCCUGACGCAGCAACGCCGCGUGAGGGACGAAGGUUUUCUGAAUUGUAAACCUCUUUCAGCAGGGAAGAUUAUGACGGUACCUGCAGAAGAAGCACCGGCUAACUACGUGCCAGCAGCCGCGGUGAUACGUAGGGUGCAAGCGUUGUCCGGAUUUAUUGGGCGUAAAGAGCUCGUAGGCGGUUUGGUAAGUCGGAUGUGAAAUCCCCAGGCUCAACCUGGGGCCUGCAUUCGAUACUGCCAUGACUAGAGUUUGGUAGGGGACCACGGAAUUCCUGGUGUAGCGGUGGAAUGCGCAGAUAUCAGGAGGAACACCAGUAGCGAAGGCGGUGGUCUGGGCCAAUACUGACGCUGAGGAGCGAAAGCGUGGGGAGCAAACAGGAUUAGAUACCCUUGUAGUC